rnacentral:rRNA from 1 species
AGAUAGAAAAUAGGUGCCCGUACCGCAAACCGACACAGGUAGUCAAGAUGAGAAUUCUAAGGUGAGCGAGCGAACUCUCGUUAAGGAACUCGGCAAAAUGACCCCGUAACUUCGGGAGAAGGGGUGCUCUUUAGGGUUAACGCCCAGAAGAGCCGCAGUGAAUAGGCCCAAGCGACUGUUUAUCAAAAACACAGGUCUCUGCUAAACCGUAAGGUGAUGUAUAGGGGCUGACGCCUGCCCGGUGCUGGAAGGUUAAGAGGAGUGGUUAGCUUCUGCGAAGCUACGAAUCGAAGCCCCAGUAAACGGCGGCCGUAACUAUAACGGUCCUAAGGUAGCGAAAUUCCUUGUCGGGUAAGUUCCGACCCGCACGAAAGGCGUAACGAUUUGGGCACUGUCUCAACGAGAGACUCGGUGAAAUCAUAGUACCUGUGAAGAUGCAGGUUACCCGCGACAGGACGGAAAGACCCCGUGGAGCUUUACUGUAGCCUGAUAUUGAAAUUCGGCACAGCUUGUACAGGAUAGGUAGGAGCCUUUGAAACGUGAGCGCUAGCUUACGUGGAGGCGCUGGUGGGAUACUACCCUAGCU